UGGGGAAUAUUGCGCAAUGGGGGAAACCCUGACGCAGCGACGCCGCGUGCGGGAUGAAGGCCUUCGGGUUGUAAACCGCUUUUGAUUGGGAGCAAGCUUUCGGGUGAGUGUACCUUUCGAAUAAGCGCCGGCUAACUACGUGCCAGCAGCCGCGGUAAUACGUAGGGCGCAAGCGUUGUCCGGAUUUAUUGGGCGUAAAGCGAGCGCAGGCGGUCAAUUAAGUCUGAUGUGAAAGCCCCCGGCUCAACCGGGGAGGGUCAUUGGAAACUGGUUGACUUGAGUGCAGAAGAGGAGAGUGGAAUUCCAUGUGUAGCGGUGAAAUGCGUAGAUAUAUGGAGGAACACCAGUGGCGAAGGCGACUCUCUGGUCUGUAACUGACGCUGAGGCUCGAAAGCGUGGGUAGCAAACAG
rnacentral:rRNA from 1 species